rnacentral:rRNA from 1 species
CCUACGGGUGGCAGCAGUGGGGAAUAUUGGACAAUGGGGGGAACCCUGAUCCAGCCAUGCCGCGUGUGUGAAGAAGGCCCUCGGGUUGUAAAGCACUUUCAGUGAGGAAGAACGCCUGGUGGUUAAUACCCAUCAGGAAAGACAUCACUCACAGAAGAAGCACCGGCUAACUCCGUGCCAGCAGCCGCGGUAAUACGGAGGGUGCGAGCGUUAAUCGGAAUUACUGGGCGUAAAGCGCGCGUAGGUGGCUUGAUAAGCCGGUUGUGAAAGCCCCGGGCUCAACCUGGGAACGGCAUCCGGAACUGUCAAGCUUGAGUGCAGGAGAGGAAGGUGGAAUUCCCGGUGUAGCGGUGAAAUGCGUAGAGAUCGGGAGGAAUACCAGUGGCGAAGGCGGCCUUCUGGACUGACACUGACACUGAGGUGCGAAAGCGUGGGUAGCAAACAGGAUUAGAUACCCCGGUAGUC